rnacentral:lncRNA from 1 species
AGAAACCAAAUUAAACAUAUACAUUAUCCCCUAUAAACAUCAAGGUGGGAACUAAUUGAGAAGUUGCAAAGCUAUCUCAACUCAAUUUGGAAGUAAAAACAAACAGAGAAAUCAAAGAAUACAGCAAAUAAAGCAGUGUCCACUUUCCUUCAAUGGCUAACACACAAAAUCAAGAAUCAUGGAUAUUGAAGCCUCAGAGCAGUUCUGCAGAAGUGGCAACUCCCAAGAACAGAGUGGAAACGCCAAGUUCCUUCCUUAAUCUCAUGAUUUUCACUUUUCACAAACCAAUUCAUUUUCCGGGUUUUGAGAAAAUGGUGUUCAGCACCUUGACCUUCACCCGCCUUGUUGCGCAAACUCAUCCUUCUAUCCAAACAUUGCUUCAAGCCUUCAACAACGUGACACAAUACAAUGUUAUACACAGUAUAAAACAGCACAUUAUGAGACGACGAGAAAUAUCAACUCAAACAGGCAGUAAAAAGAUAAUUACCUCAACAUGCAGCCAGUUGCCAAGACUCUUAUAGUAUGUCAACUCUUGGAAUGUGAGCAAUCUUAGGCCAGUCCUCUCCUACUUCCUUGUCGCAUCUUUGCUUCAGG